GUACAGUCAUCUGGCCAGGGCAUCCAUCCCGUCAACCACCUCCAUCUCUCCAUGUGACAGCAGGAGUGCUGGGCAGGCCAGGGUCCUCAGAGGAGACUGAUCACUCCUGACCAGGCCAUUCCUACCCUCCUGGAGACUCCCUUGAAGCCUACCCUACAGCCCUCUUCACCAAAGUAUUGAGUGGUUUUUGUAAGAAAUUUAGAUUUAAGUCAAGGUGCAUCUUACUGGAGUGCUGCCCACCCAGAGUCUCUCCCCCAGCUCUAGGCACGGCCCCAUUCCUGACCCUCUCUGUGACACUGUUGUGUACAUAUGCAAUAUGACAUGACAUAUAUGUAUGUCUUUCCUACAAUUGGUUCUACUCUAAUAUCCAGGAAUUAUGUGAGUCCUUAUUGAUGUGAAAUUAGGUGAUUUCCAGUCCUUCCAUGAGAAAAACCCUGCCACCUCAAAUUCACUUGUGCCAAGUGUGUUGUUCUCCACAAAGUUUGCAGCAGUCCACUGUGGAUCCUUGAGCACCUGCUGUCAUCACCUUCCACUCUGCCAGUCUGAGAGGAGGCCAUUAUCUCAUCACCCUCAUGAGUGUUUCACUGCCUGAGCAUCUCUAUGCCCUUUGGGUUUAUUCUCUGUCUCAUCCUGUCCCUACUCUCACCCACUCUGUUGGGCUCAUCCAAAACCUGGU
rnacentral:lncRNA from 1 species